rnacentral:rRNA from 1 species
AGAGUUAAACAGUACGUGAAAUUGUUGAAAGGGAAACGAUUAAAGUCAGUCGUACCGAUGGGCAUUCAACUCCUUGAGUGCGAUCAUGUUGGGUGUUGGGGAGCUUAACCGCCCUCGCGUCUGCGUAUUUGUGCUCUUAGGGUGUACUUGCCCGUAUGGUAGGUUAACAUCAAUUUUGGUCAUCAUAAAAUGACGGGAGGAAUGUAGCUUCGAUCUCGUAUUGAAGUGUUAUAGCCUCUGGUAGAUGUGAUGAUCGGGAUUGAGGAUUGCAGCGAACCCUUCGGGGCCACCUGUCUGGCCUCUGGUGGUCGCUCUGGUGCUGAAAGCUUGCUUACAGUUAUCAAAGUUGGUUGCCAAAAGGUUAGAACGGGUUGAAUUCGUUAAGGAUGUUGACGUAAUGGCUUUAAACGACC